GGUUCAAUAGUGUAGUGGUUAGCACGACUGCCUCGGAAAGCUGAGAGUCCUGGGUUCGAUUCCCAGAGGAACCA